CUUAGAAAUCUGUGGAAUCUGUAUAGAAAGUAUGGGGUGCCCUUCGGGGAGCCGCAAGACAGGUGCUGCAUGGCUGUCGUCAGCUCGUGUCGUGAGAUGUUGGGUUAAGUCCCGCAACGAGCGCAACCCUUGUCUUCAGUUGCCAGCACGUAAAGGUGGGAACUCUGAAGAUACUGCCCCGGUUAACGGGGAGGAAGGUGGGGAUGACGUCAAGUCCUCAUGGCCCUUAUGCCCAGGGCUACACACGUGCUACAAUGGCAUAUACAAAGGGUCGCGAUACCGCGAGGUGGAGCUAAUCCCAUAAAACCGAUCGUAGUCCGGAUCGCAGUCUGCAACUCGACUGCGUGAAGUCGGAAUCGCUAGUAAUCGUGAAUCAGAAUGUCACGGUGAAUACGUUCCCGGGCCUU
rnacentral:rRNA from 1 species